CGGUAGAGCGAGUAAAGCAGUAAUGCGCUUGGGGAUGGGCCUGCGGCGGAUUAGCUAGUUGGUGGGGUAACGGCCUACCAAGGCGAUGAUCCGUAGGGGGCGUGAGAGCGUGGCCCCCCACACUGGCACUGAGACACGGGCCAGACUCCUACGGGAGGCAGCAGUGAGGAAUAUUGCACAAUGGGCGGAAGCCUGAUGCAGCAACGCCGCGUGAGGGACGAAGGCCUUCGGGUCGUAAACCUCUUUUCUGGGGGACGAGUAAGGACGGUACCUCAGGAAUAAGUCUCGGCUAACUACGUGCCAGCAGCCGCGGUAAAACGUAGGAGGCGAGCGUUAUCCGGAUUUACUGGGCGUAAAGCGUACGCAGGUGGCUUCGUAAGUCGGACAUGAAAGCUCCCGGCUUAACUGGGAGAGGUUGUUCGAUACUGCGGGGCUUGAGGUUGGGAGAGGGACGUGGAAUUCCCGGUGUAGUGGUGGAAUGCGUAGAUAUCGGGAGGAACACCAGUGGCGCAAGCGGCGUCCUGGCCCACACCUGACGCUGAGGUACGAAAGCGUGGGUAGCAAACAGGAUUAGAUACCCUGGUAGUCCACGCUGUAAACGAUGUCAACUGGGUGUCGGUAGUUUUACACUAUCGGUGCCGAAGCUAACGCG
rnacentral:rRNA from 1 species